rnacentral:snRNA from 1 species
AUCGCUUCUCGGCCUUUUGGCUAAGAUCAAGUGUAUCAUGAAUUGGUGGUGGACCUUGUCAAAUGCUUUUUCUGCAUCUAUUGAAAGGACUAUAUAGUUUUUAUCCUGGGCUCUGUUAAUAUAUUGCAUUAGACUUAUUGAUUUGCAUACUGAAC